CGAUGGCCAUGACCGCAUGGACGCCUAGGCGGUCGUCUGAAAAUAGGGUAAAUUUGCAGAAUUUACCCUGAACUUAUAUAUAUUUGCUAAAAAAUAUGGGUAAAUUCAGAAACAUUUAAAAAAAUAUAUACAUCAAUUUUAAAACCUGAAAUUACUAAUACAAAGUAAUAGACUAUUAAUCUAAAAUUUAAAAUGUAAAUACAUAGAUUAUAAGACUUCUAUGAAUUUAGGGUUAGAAAGGUGCAAGAAACAAGAAAGAAAAGAGGUUAGGGUUUUUUAAAACUCUCAACCUCUUAUUUAA
rnacentral:lncRNA from 1 species